rnacentral:misc_RNA from 1 species
GAUGAAGAACGCAGCGAAAUGCGAUAAGUAAUGUGAAUUGCAGAAUUCAGAGAAUCAUCGAAUCUUUGAACGCACAUUGCGCCCCCUGGUAUUCCGGGGGGCAUGCCUGUCCGAGCGUCAUUACAACCCUCAAGCUCAGCUUGGUGUUGGGCCCCGCCGCCCCGGCGGGCCCUAAAGUCAGUGGCGGUGCCGUCCGGCUCCGAGCGUAGUAAUUCUUCUCGCUCUGGAGGUCCGGUCGUGUGCUCGCCAGCAACCCCCAAUUUUUUUCAGGUUGACCUCGGAUCAGGUAGGGAUACCCGCUGAACUUAAGCAUAUCAAUAAGCGGAGGA